AGCAGCCGCGGUAAUUCCAGCUCCAAUAGCGUAUAUUAAAGUUGUUGCAGUUAAAAAGCUCGUAGUUGAAUUUCGGGAUUAAUUUAUUGGUCGUGCUAUUGUACGUACUGGUAUUAUUGAUUCCUACCUUCUGACGAACCACGAUGUCAUUAAUUUGGUGUCAUGGGGAAUCAGGACUGUUACUUUGAAAAAUUAGAGUGUUUAAAGCAGGCUCACGCUUGAAUACAUUAGCAUGGAAUAACGAAAUAGGACGUUUGAUUCUAUUUUGUUGGUUUCUAGGAUCGACGUAAUGAUUAAUAGGGAUAGUUGGGGGCAUUAGUAUUCAAUUGUCAGAGGUGAAAUUCUUGGAUUUAUUGAAGACUAACUACUGCGAAAGCAUUUGCCAAGGAUGUUUUCAUUAAUCAAGAACGAAAGUUAGGGGAUCGAAGACGAUCAGAUACCGUCGUAGUCUUAACCAUAAACUAUGCCGACUAGGGAUCGGAUGAUGUUAAUUUUUAAUGACUCAUUCGGCGCCUUACGG
rnacentral:rRNA from 1 species